AGAUGACAUCUCCAGUUUACAUGGCCUUAUUAUUCCAGACCCCACAGGCAAUGCUAAAUUGUUGGAAGAAAUAGGGAGCACAACACAGCAUCCCAAGGCUCCUUGCUGCGAAGUGUUCAAAGGCGGCUGGCAGAGGCAGUGGCAAUGGGCUUCACAAACUACAAUAUAAUCACAAUUAUUAAAUCACAGACUGAUCAAAUGCCAGAAACCACACCUCAGAUAAUUCCACUUGCAUACGAAACAGAGCAAUUUUAUUUCAAAAUAGAGCGUAAUAAAACUUAAAAUAAUUCA